GUUACUUAUAGAAAUAUGCAUCUGGUGAUCUGGAAACUUCAAGAAAGUCAUAUCAAGGUAUGGAGAGGUUAGUGACUUGGCAGGCUGGGAUAAAGGAAGCAGACUUCAAGUAAGGCUGGCAUUGAGAUUGCAGUGGUCAGUCUGAUAUCACAAAUAGCUGGCAGCAAAGCACAGGACUGUAACAGCUGGUCUACAGCUAUCAUCUGCUACAGCACCAGGAAACUGAAAGCAACCAUGCAUAUGCUUAUUUCUUUGGGAGCAUACCCACUCUGAAAAGACAGUUUCUACAAACAUGUUUUCAUGCCCAUUCUGACCUUCUGAAUGAGAUACUUUGCAAUUAAAGUACCAAGGAGCUGCUGAAGCAGAAGUGACAUCUUGCUACCAAGACCUGGAACAAGUUUGGUAAUCCAGCCGCCUUGUACCAUCAUGCAGUUUUAGCAUUGCAGAGCUUUGUGACUGACAGCAUCAGGAAUUGCAAAGUCAACCAUACUCGUUUCCGUGUAGAUCUACAACUGUUUUUCAUUUGCUUAAAAACAGUGGUCAGCAUCAUCUCAAUGUGUUUUAAGAGUUUAAUCCAUUAAGUAACAUUUUCA